rnacentral:rRNA from 1 species
AUUGAACGCUGGCGGCAGGCUUAACACAUGCAAGUCGAGCGGGGGAGGUUGCUUCGGUAACUGACCUAGCGGCGGACGGGUGAGUAAUGCUUAGGAAUCUGCCUAUUAGUGGGGGACAACAUUCCGAAAGGGAUCCUAUUACCGCAUACGCCCCACGGGGGAAAGCAGGGGAUCUUCGGACCUUGCGCUAAUAGAUGAGCCUAAGUCGGAUUAGCUAGUUGGUGGGGUAAAGGCCAACCAAGGCGAAGUUCUGUAGCGGGUCUGAGAGGAUGAUCCGCCACACUGGGACUGAGACACGGCCCAGACUCCUACGGGAGGCAGCAGUGGGGAAUAUUGGACAAUGGGGGGAACCCUGAUCCAGCCAUGCCGCGUGUGUGAAGAAGGCCUUAUGGUUGUAAAGCACUUUAAGCGAGGAGGAGGCUCUUUUGGUUAAUACCCAAGAUGAGUGGACGUUACUCGCAGAAUAAGCACCGGCUAACUCUGUGCCAGCCGCCGCCGUAAUAC